GAAUAUUGGACAAUGGGCGCAAGCCUGAUCCAGCAAUGCCGCGUGAAUGAUGAAGGCCCUAGGGUUGUAAAGUUCUUUCGACGGGGACGAUGAUGACGGUACCCGUAGAAGACGCCCCGGCUAACUUCGUGCCAGCAGCCGCGGUAAUACGAAGGGGGCUAGCGUUGUUCGGAAUUACUGGGCGUAAAGCGCACGUAGGCGGUCCUGCCAGUCAGAAGUGAAAGCCCUGGGCUCAACCCGGGAACUGCUUUUGAUACUGUGGGGCUUGAAUCCUGGAGAGGGUAGUGGAAUUCCCAGUGUAGAGGUGAAAUUCGUAGAUAUUGGGAAGAACACCAGUGGCGAAGGCGACUACCUGGCCAGGCAUUGACGCUGAGGUGCGAAAGCGUGGGGAGCAAACAGG
rnacentral:rRNA from 1 species